UUGGAGGGCAAGUCUGGUGCCAGCAGCCGCGGUAAUUCCAGCUCCAAUAGCGUAUAUUAAAGUUGUUGCAGUUAAAAAGCUCGUAGUUGAAUUUCGGGGUUCUACCGUUGGUCGGGCUUUGUCUGUACUGGUGUGUAGAAUUUCUACCUUCUGGGGAACCAUCAUGCUAUUAAUUUAGCGUGGUGGGAAACCAGGACCUCUACCUUGAAAAAAUUAGUGUGUUCAAAGCAGGCUUAUGUCUGAAUACAUUAGCGUGGAAUAAUAGAAUAGGACGGUGGUCCUGUUUUGUUGGUUUCUGAAUCACCGUAAUGAUUAAUAGGGAUAGUUGGGGGCAUUAGUAUUCAAUUGUCGGAGGUGAAAUUCUUGGAUUUAUUGAAGACUAACUUCUGCGAAAGCAUUUGCCAAGGAUGUUUUCAUUAAUCAAGAACGAAAGUUAGGGGAUCGAAGACGAUCAGAUACCGUCGUAGUCUUAACCAUAAACUAUGCCGACUAGGGAUCGGACGAUGUUAAUUUUUCUUGACUCGUUCGGCGCCUUACGGGAAAC
rnacentral:rRNA from 1 species